rnacentral:rRNA from 1 species
UGAGGAAUAUUGGUCAAUGGGCGUGAGCCUGAACCAGCCAAGCCGCGUGAGGGAAGAAGGCGCCAGGCGUCGUAAACCUCUUUUGCCGGGGAACAAAGGGCGCCACGUGUGGCGUUGUGAGUGUACCCGGAGAAAAAGCAUCGGCUAACUCCGUGCCAGCAGCCGCGUAAUAGACGACU